rnacentral:rRNA from 1 species
UACAGAGGUCUCAAGCGUUGUUCGGAUUCAUUGGGCGUAAAGGGUGCGUAGGUGGCAUGGUCAGUCGGAUGUGAAAUCCCGGGGCUCAACCCCGGAACUGCAUUCGAUACUGCCGUGCUGGAGUACUGGAGAGGAGAUUGGAAUUUACGGUGUAGCAGUGAAAUGCGUAGAUAUCGUAAGGAAGACCAGUGGCGAAGGCGGAUCCCUGGACAGUUACUGACACUGAGGCACGAAGGCCAGGGGAGCAAACGGG